rnacentral:rRNA from 1 species
AGAAUCAACGCUGGCGGCGUGCCUAACACAUGCAAGUCGAACGAGAAAGUGGAGCAAUCCAUGAGUACAGUGGCGCACGGGUGAGUAACACGUGACUACCUACCCUCGAGUGGGGAAUAACCUCGGGAAACCGGGGCUAAUACCGCAUAACAUCUACGGAUCAAAUGCGAAAGCAGCUUGAGGAGGGGGUCGCGGCCGAUUAGCUAGUUGGUGAGGUAAUGGCCCACAAGGCAAUGAUCGGUAGCCGGCCUGAGAGGGCGCACGGCCACACUGGAACUGAAACACGGUCCAGACUCCUACGGGAGGCAGCAGUGGGGAAUUUUGCGCAAUGGGGGAAACCCUGACGCAGCAACGCCGCGUGGAGGAUGAAGCCCCUUGGGGUGUAAACUCCUUUCGAUCGGGACGAUUAUGACGGUACCGGAAGAAGAAGCACCGGCUAACUCUGCGCCAGCAGCCGC